GAUGAAGAACGUAGCGAAAUGCGAUAACUAAUGUGAAUUGCAGAAUUCCGUGAAUCAUCGAGCCUUUGAACGCACAUUGCGCCCCCUGGUAUUCCGGGGGGCAUGCCUGUCCGAGCGUCAUUACAACCCUCAAGCCCGGCUUGUGUAAUGGGCGGCCGUCUCUCCCCCCGGGGGGAGACGCCCCCGAAACUCAGUGGGGAUGUCGCGAUACCGAAGCCUCAGCUAAUGGGUAAACCACAGCUGCAAUGGCCGCGGCCGGCGUCCGCCUUCCACGGUCCGUCCGCCUAGCGCGGGCGGCCUUCUCAAGGUUGACCUCGGAUCAGGUAGGGAUACCCGCUGAACUUAAGCAUAUCAAUAAGCGGAGGA
rnacentral:misc_RNA from 1 species